UAGGUACCUACAUUCAAUAUCGGGCAGCGAAUCAGGUCAGGUCGUGAUUGAAGCAGCCUUAAGCUAUACCCGGUAUGUGGAUGUAGGUACUUAAGG
rnacentral:SRP_RNA from 1 species